AUCAAUCUCGGCUCUCGGAGUUAACUUCAUGUGUAUUAUCCAUUCUUUGCUGAGUAAUUUCUGUAACGGUCUCUAAAUUGAAACCAAUGAAAUUAUAUGUAUUUUUCUCUGCUGGACGGGUACUGUGAGCUUGCUCAACCCUGUUCACGGGUCGGCCUCGUAUUGCAUUACCUCAAGGAUUGGCCCACUAAAG
rnacentral:snRNA from 1 species